rnacentral:rRNA from 1 species
UACGUAGGGUGCGAGCGUUGUCCGGAAUUAUGGGGCGUAAAGAGCUCGUAGGCGGUCUGUCGCGUCUGCUGUGAAAUCCCGAGGCUCAACCUCGGGCCUGCAGUGGGUACGGGCAGACUAGAGUGCGGUAGGGGAGAUUGGAAUUCCUGGUGUAGCGGUGGAAUGCGCAGAUAUCAGGAGGAACACCGAUGGCGAAGGCAGAUCUCUGGGCCGUAACUGACGCUGAGGAGCGAAAGCGUGGGGAGCGAACAGG